AGAGCAUGCAAAGAAGGAGGUGUUUUGUGGUGUCCAGAGGUCUGAUCUCUGCUACCAAGCUCCUUUCCAUACCUCUUAGACACAGAAAUCAAAGCUGCUCUGAGAGAUGGGUAUCAGGCAAAGGAAAAAGCAAAGCUCCCCCACUCACCCCUGUGAACCUGGGUUCCUGGUUAAUGUGUUGCUCCCAAGGAGUAGGAGCACUCCUACACCACCAGCCUGAUGUCAACAGCAAUCAAGUCAAUGAUCACCAGCAAAUCACUCCAGGUAGUUGCUGCCUUAGGUGGAGCAACGAAACCCCAGGAUCUCAUCCUCUUCUUCACUCCUCCAGCUGAGCACUGACACUGCUGUGGCCCUUUUCACCAUCACCUACAACACACAGAUGUCUUGGAUUCUGUCCAGUGAUCUUCGUUGAUGGAGAUAAGCUAGAAGGUGUUAAGUUUUGGUGGUGUGAGAG